GCCUAAUGGUGUGGGCAUUUAUGUAAGAGGUCCUGAAAAUGCUCCCAUGUCUCGAAAAAUAGUUCCCCUUCCACUUGUGAGAAACUAUUGAUUGCUCUCCUAAGCU